UACUAAUGCAACUGCGAAUAGCUGUUUAAUACAGUCGCAAUUGUAUUGACUUAGCAUAUAGAAAUAUAGUUAGUUAUAUUUGGAUAACUAAGGGAAAGUUUGGCUAAUACGUUUAUAUAAUACGUAAAUAUAAUAUUUAUAGCAUAUUAUGAUAUCAUUGCAACAUGAUUGACAUAAUAUAAAUAUAUAAUACAUUUAUUUGUAUUAAUAUUUUGCAGACUUUAUAGUAAUUAUAACUUAUAAAGCAUGUCAAACAAGCAUCUAUAGCAUCAAGUCACAAUGUUGGCAUGUGUAUUAUUGAACCUUCAAAGCAUUUACGCAUUCGGAGGAGUAGUUUCUGAUCCCGUCGAAGGUGCCUGAGAGACGGCACUUAGUUCUAAGGAACGCAGCAGGCGCGUAAAUUGCCCAAUGACAAAACAUGUAAUUAAUAUAUAUAAUAUAUACCUUGUAUACUGUAUUGAGGCAGUGACAAGCUGUAAAGAUUCAAUAUAUUAAUUAAGAUAACAUUUGGAAUUGUCNCUUUGUAUAAUUUAUUAUACAUUGCUUGAUAAUAUACCAAUGUUAUAAAAUAUUGAAUUUGAAUGCGGUGAUUUUAAUAAUUUCAAGUAACAUGUAUAAAAUAGUAAUAUUUUAUAUGUUAUCUGAAUUUUCAAGUGGAGGGCAAGUCUGGUGCCAGCAGCCGCGGUAAUACCAGCUCCACUAGCCUAUACAAUCAUUGUUGCGGUUAAGAGGCUCGUAGUUGGAUUGAAUAAUUAUACAUAUUAUAUACAAUACUGUGAACAAACCAGAGUGUAUAAAACAUGUAAUAUUAUAAUUAUUAGCAAUGAAUGUUUUAUCAUGGGAUAUUGCAAUAUAAUUAUAAAUAUUAUUGUUAGUUAGUUAUAUCGAUGGAGAUAGUUGGAGUUGAGAGUACUGAUAGGCGAGCGGUGAAAUGCAUUGACCCUAUUAAGACUAACAAAAGCGUAAGCNCUUAACUAGAUUAUACUCUUUGUAUAUAUAUAACAAUGAAGAGCGAAGGUUGGGGGAACAAAGAGGAUCAGAUACCCUCGUAGUCCUAUUUUUACAUCAAACUAUGGGAUUUCAAUUGAAUAUGUGAUACAUAUAAUAUAAUAUUCCCUUCAACUUAUAUUAUACAUGUAUAGUUGAGUACUUAAUUUGUACUCCUAUAUAUAUUAUAAAUUGAAUAUUUAUUAAUUAUAAUCAUAAAUGAUUAUAUGUACUUUGCGCUCAUAUUAUUUAAAAGGUGAGAUGUAAGCAUUAUAGGAGAGUAAUAUACUUAUAUCAUAUUAUAUGUGUAUAAUGUAUUAUUAUAAUCCUUAAUUAAUAAACGUAAUGNGAUGCACGUUUUAGGUACGAGCUUACUAUAGAAAUAUUUAAAAUAAUACCCUCCUGGGGUAGUAUGCACGCAAGUGUGAAACUUGAAGGNNNNNNNNNAAGGGCACCACAAGAACGCGUGGAGCAUGUGGCUUAAUUUGACUCAACGCGGGAAAUCUUACCAGGUCCGGACAUAUUGAGGAUUGACAGGCGAUAGUAAUAUUAUUAUAUAAUAUUGCAUAAAAAUGAUAGUCCUUUCAUGAUUAUAUGAUAGGUGGUGCAUGGCCGUUCUUAGUUCGUGGAGUGAUUUGUCUGCUUAAUUGCGUUUCAGAUAUAUAAUUAUAUAAUAUAUUAUAUAGUAAUAUAUAAUUUAAUAUUGUGCUGCCUUAUAUAUUAUUUAUAAGGAUUUUAAGUGAACAUAUUUUAUUAUACAUAUAUUAUUAUAUAUAUUUAUUAUAUAUUAAAAUGAAUGCAACGAACGUGACCGUAACCUUUUAUUGCUAUAAAUAAUAUAUAUUAUUUAUAUUAUAAUAUAGCAUAAAAUUAAAGGGACCGCUGUCUAAAUUUUAGUGUUAAAAUAGAGUAAGAUUACGGCAAUAACAGGUCUGUGAUGCCCUCAGAUGUUCUGGGCUGCACACGUGCUACAAUAAUUACAUUAAUAAGUAUCUAUUAUAAUACAUAAUAUGUUUACAUAUUAUAAUAAACCUAUUUCGAAAGUAAAUGGGUAAUCAUUUAAAAAUCGUGAUUAUUCAUACAUAUAUGGUAUAUUAAUAUUGUAUAAUACUAUACAUUUUAUAGUACUAUUACAAAUACCAUUAAUUAAUUUAAGGUGGGGAUAGUGUAUUGUUAAUUAUUACACUUGGCCUUAACUAGGAAUGCCUUGUACUCUUCUUUGGUUUAACAUACCAAGAGGAAUACGUCCCUGCCCUUUGUACACACCGCCCGUCGCUCUUACCGAUGAAUUAUAUUAUAAAUCUAAGGGACAUACAUAUCCUGAAAUUGAAUAUAUUGAAACUUAUAUACAUAAUGUGAUUUAAAGGAAAGAGAAGUCGUAACAAGGCAUCAGUAGGUGAACCU
rnacentral:rRNA from 1 species